rnacentral:ncRNA from 2 species
AUUGCCGUCGCCAGCUUCGGUCCCGGCUCAACGGUCGGGAUAAUAGGGAACACCGGUGCGCCGCGGGUCGACAGGCCCGGGCCAGGCCGGGGCUGCCCCCGCAACUGUAAGCGGUGAGCAAAGGCCGAUGACGCCACUGGGGUUCCCCCGGGAAGGCCGGCCCGAGCCACGAUCCGCGAGCCAGGAGACCUGCCGAGGCCUUCACCCAUUU